rnacentral:rRNA from 1 species
GAUGAACGCUAGCUACAGGCUUAACACAUGCAAGUCGAGGGGCAGCAUGAACUUAGCUUGCUAAGUUUGAUGGCGACCGGCGCACGGGUGAGUAACACGUAUCCAACCUGCCGAUGACUCGGGGAUAGCCUUUCGAAAGAAAGAUUAAUACCCGAUGGCAUAGUUCUUCCGCAUGGUAGAACUAUUAAAGAAUUUCGGUCAUCGAUGGGGAUGCGUUCCAUUAGGUUGUUGGCGGGGUAACGGCCCACCAAGCCUUCGAUGGAUAGGGGUUCUGAGAGGAAGGUCCCCCACAUUGGAACUGAGACACGGUCCAAACUCCUACGGGAGGCAGCAGUGAGGAAUAUUGGUCAAUGGACGAGAGUCUGAACCAGCCAAGUAGCGUGAAGGACGACUGCCCUAUGGGUUGUAAACUUCUUUUAUACGGGAAUAAAGUGAGGCACGUGUGCCUUUUUGUAUGUACCGUAUGAAUAAGGAUCGGCUAACUCCGUGCCAGCAGCCGCGGUAAUACGGAGGAUCCGAGCGUUAUCCGGAUUUAUUGGGUUUAAAGGGAGCGUAGGCGGACGCUUAAGUCAGUUGUGAAAGUUUGCGGCUCAACCGUAAAAUUGCAGUUGAUACUGGGUGUCUUGAGUACAGUAGAGGCAGGCGGAAUUCGUGGUGUAGCGGUGAAAUGCUUAGAUAUCACGAAGAACUCCGAUUGCGAAGGCAGCCUGCUGGACUGUAACUGACGCUGAUGCUCGAAAGUGUGGGUAUCAAACAGGAUUAGAUACCCUGGUAGUCCACACAGUAAACGAUGAAUACUCGCUGUUUGCGAUAUACAGUAAGCGGCCAAGCGAAAGCGUUAAGUAUUCCACCUGGGGAGUACGCCGGCAACGGUGAAACUCAAAGGAAUUGACGGGGGCCCGCACAAGCGGAGGAACAUGUGGUUUAAUUCGAUGAUACGCGAGGAACCUUACCCGGGCUUGAAUUGCAACUGAAUGAUGUGGAGACAUGUCAGCCGCAAGGCAGUUGUGAAGGUGCUGCAUGGUUGUCGUCAGCUCGUGCCGUGAGGUGUCGGCUUAAGUGCCAUAACGAGCGCAACCCUUAUCGAUAGUUACCAUCAGGUGAUGCUGGGGACUCUGUCGAGACUGCCGUCGUAAGAUGUGAGGAAGGUGGGGAUGACGUCAAAUCAGCACGGCCCUUACGUCCGGGGCUACACACGUGUUACAAUGGGGGGUACAGAAGGCAGCUACACGGCGACGUGAUGCUAAUCCCGAAAGCCUCUCUCAGUUCGGAUUGGAGUCUGCAACCCGACUCCAUGAAGCUGGAUUCGCUAGUAAUCGCGCAUCAGCCACGGCGCGGUGAAUACGUUCCCGGGCCCU